CGCCUGCCGGCGGACCGGCGCACGGGUGAGUAACACGUAUGCGACCUGCCCCCCGCAGGGGGAUAACCGGGAGAAAUCCCGACUAAUACCGCGUAACGCCGCGGACCUGCAUGGGUCUGCGGCCAAAGGAAGCGAUUCCGGCGGGGGAUGGGCAUGCGGCGCAUUAGCUAGUCGGCGGGGUAACGGCCCACCGAGGCGACGAUGCGUAGGGGUUCUGAGAGGAAGGUCCCCCACACUGGUACUGAGACACGGUCCAAACUCCUACGGAAGGCAGCAG
rnacentral:rRNA from 1 species